GCGCCCGUAGCUCAACGGACAGAGCACCGGCCUUCUAAGCCGGGGGCUGUGGGUUCGAUUCCCGCCGGGCGCGCCA
rnacentral:tRNA from 1 species